GAUGAACGCUGGCGGCGUGCUUAACACAUGCAAGUCGAACGAAGCACUUUAUUUGAUUUCCUUCGGGACUGAUUAUUUUGUGACUGAGUGGCGGACGGGUGAGUAACGCGUGGGUAACCUGCCUUGUACAGGGGGAUAACAGUUGGAAACGGCUGCUAAUACCGCAUAAGCGCACAGCAUCGCAUGAUGCAGUGUGAAAAACUCCGGUGGUAUAAGAUGGACCCGCGUUGGAUUAGCUAGUUGGUGAGGUAACGGCCCACCAAGGCGACGAUCCAUAGCCGACCUGAUAGGGUGACCGGCCACGUUGGGACUGAGACACGGCCCAAACUCCUACGGGAGGCAGCAGUGGGGAAUAUUGCACAAUGGGCGAAAGCCUGAUGCAGCGACGCCGCGUGAGCGAAGAAGUAUUUCGGUAUGUAAAGCUCUAUCAGCAGGGAAGAUAAUGACGUUACCUGACUAAGAAGCACCGGCUAAAUACGUG
rnacentral:rRNA from 1 species